AUACGGAAGGUCCGGGCGUUAUCCGGAUUUAUUGGGUUUAAAGGGAGCGCAGGCGGAGAUGCAAGCGUGACGUCAAAUUUCGGGGCUCAACCCCGUCUCGCGUCGCGAACUGCGUCCCUUGGUUGCGGGAAGGGGAGGCGGAACUCGUGGUGUAGCGGUGAAAUGCAUAGAUAUCACGAAGAACUCCGAUCGCGAAGGCAGCCUUCCGGCCCGUCAACGACGCUCAUGCUCGAAGGUGCGGGUAUCAAACAGGAUUAGAUACCCUGGUAGUCCGCACAGUUAACGAUGGACACCCGCGGUUUGGCCUAUAUGGCUGAGCCGCCAAGCGAAAGCGUUAAGUGUCCCACCUGGGGAGUACGCCGGCAACGGUGAAACUCAAAGGAAUUGACGGGG
rnacentral:rRNA from 1 species